GUGAAUGAAUAUUUGGUUGGAAAUGGUGCAACUGCAUGAUAUCAGUGAUACAAUUUUGGAAAUGCAUCUAUGGAGAAGAAAUAUGUACAUGGAUGCUGGAGAAAGACAGACUAACUCUAAGUCAUUAUGUUCUUCUGUCCUGGUACCUAAGGAGAAAUGCUUUCACCAGGGAAUCCAGAUGUUCCAUUAAGAGAAGCCAUGACAAAAGCUGCAGAGUGAAAGCAAUGGAGAUGAGAAUGGCACAGAAAAAAAGCUACGUCCUAGAACUGCCCUCGGAAAUGAUUAAGAUAAAUUCCUUUUUGGCCUAAUACACUAAGGAAAGGGGGAAAUUGACAUUCAGGUUACUUUUUAAAUGAAAUUUUUAUUACAUUCUUUAAUACAAAGUUUUAUAAGUCCGGGAUUAUGCAUGUUCUUCAGUAAAAUAAGCAUCACAUUUAUAAUACUUAUGUUUAACAUAUUUUGAAUGAAUUAGAUUCUAUACGAUAAGACAAUUUUAUUUCACCUACAGUCUUUUCACACACUCCUCCUGAAUAUAAUCCCCAAAAGACAUGUUUUUCUUUCACUUUCUGGUUCCCCAUUUUCUCUCCUUAUUUGCUGUUUUAUCCCCUUUGGUAUGACAGGGCAAGUUUCAGGAGGUCAAUGAAGA
rnacentral:lncRNA from 10 species